rnacentral:rRNA from 1 species
AGUGAACGCUGGCGGUAGGCCUAACACAUGCAAGUCGAACGGCAGCACAGUAAGAGCUUGCUCUUACGGGUGGCGAGUGGCGGACGGGUGAGGAGUACAUCGGAAUCUACUUUUUCGUGGGGGAUAACGUAGGGAAACUUACGCUAAUACCGCAUACGACCUACGGGUGAAAGCAGGGGAUCUUCGGACCUUGCGCGAUUGAAUGAGCCGAUGUCGGAUUAGCUAGUUGGCGGGGUAAAGGCCCACCAAGGUGACGAUCCGUAGCUGGUCUGAGAGGAUGAUCAGCCACACUGGAACUGAGACACGGUCCAGACUCCUACGGGAGGCAGCAGUGGGGAAUAUUGGACAAUGGGCGCAAGCCUGAUCCAGCCAUACCGCGUGGGUGAAGAAGGCCUUCGGGUUGUAAAGCCCUUUUGUUGGGAAAGAAAAGCAGCAGGUUAAUACCCCGCUGUUCUGACGGUACCCAAAGAAUAAGCACCGGCUAACUUCGUG